rnacentral:rRNA from 1 species
AUAAUCUGCCUGCUACUCUGGGAUAACUCCGGGAAACCGGGGCUAAUACCGGAUAUGAGCCUUGAUCGGCGUGAUCGGGGCUGGCGAGGUUUUCGGGUGAAGAUGACUUCUCGGCCUAUCAGCUUGUUGGGGAGGUAAUGGAUCUCCAAAGCGACGACGAGGUAAGCGGGCUGAGAGGGCCACCGGCCCCGCUGGGACUGAGACACUCCCCCGACACCUACCGGAGGGGACAAUGGGGAAUAUUGGGCAAUGGACGAACGUCCCACCCCCCGGCGCCACGAGCGGGAUGAACGCCUUCAGGUUGUAUACCGCUUUCAGAAAGGAAU